AGUGACGUCAGACUGGGAAGUGAAGCUCGCCGCUGGUCGACAGCAGCAGUGAAUAGCAAUGAACAGCAACAGCGGACACUAGCUGGCAUUUUGCCUCGUAAAGCCAUCGCAUGAAUGUUUUUGUAAAGCCAGUCUCUGCUGGGAUGAAGAGCUGAAUGUCCUGCGAGUGUCGGUGAUAAUGACACCGAGAUGACUCACCAGUGGCUUGGACAUCUGUGAUUUUACAGAAGAUGAGGCUUGCUCAGUUUGUCAGACUUGUCAUUACUUGUAAUGAUUGCUACUGUAGGCACAUAAACCACACUGACAUGGACAACAAACUAUUGUGAAUCAUGUUUGUUGCUUUUUGCACAUCACACUCACUAAAAAAACAAACGGCAUAAAUUAUCAUUUAGUUUGUUUUGAAUGGCUUUCAGUUAAUAAUCAGUGCUGACGAUGUCACUGGGUGAGCAGUCUCAAAAGUGGUUUCCAACCCAUGUCCAAGCCACUGUUCUUCAAGCAACCGGUUUACAGCCCAAGGGCAAAAAUGGCACCAAUGAUGCCUACACUAUCAUCCAGCUGGGCAAGGAAAAGUACUCGACAUCAGUGGCCGAGAAGACACUUAACCCUGUCUGGAGAGAAGAAGCCUCCUUCGAAUUACCUGGUUUACUUUUGGAGGGCAACCCUGAAGUGUAUGAACUCUGCUUCAUAGUGAUGCAUCGGUCCUUGGUCGGGAUGGACAAGUUCCUGGGUCAGAGGUCCAUCAACCUUAAUGAAAUAUUUGAUAAUAAGGAACGAAAGAAAACUGACUGGUAUUCCUUGGAGUCCAAGCCAGGGAAGAAGAGGAAAGAACGAGGCCGCAUCCAAGUCAGCAUCCAGUUCAUGAGGAACAACAUGACAGCCAGCAUGUUUGACCUCUCCAUGAAGGAAAAGCCCCGCUCGCCUUUCUCUAAACUGAAGGACAAGAUGAAGGGUCGCAAACAUGACAGCGGCUAUGGUGACACAUCUUCAGCCAUCCUGCCUCGCUCUGCUGUGUGCGACUCAGAGCCCAACCGCCAGUCGUUUGCCCCAGAACCACAGCCCCAGCCUGAAACCAAGGUCAAGAGGCCGCUACUUGCUGGGGCCCAUAAGCUCUCCGCAGCCCAUUCCAUGUCGGAUCUCAUUGGGACCCACUUUCGCCCCAAACUGGACUCCAUGAACUCCAUAGAGGAGAGUGGGAGCGCAGCCGGCCCUCACAGGCGUUCCCAGAGUGAGGUGCCAGGCUACCAGGACAGCGAGGCACACAGUGACCCUUUCACUGAUAUCAGUGACGCCCUGCCACAGAAGUAUGCCACGCUCCCACGCAACCGCAACCCAUUUGAGGGGGAGCACGGGCAGCUGUGGGACCGGGCAGAGCGGAAGGAGAAAAAGGAGAAGGUCAGCCUACUGGAACGAGUGACGGGAAAGAAAGAAGGCCGCAAGACCAGCAACGGGGGGCGUUCGGGUAGUUCUGGAGACUUGCGUUCCCCCAACCCCUUUAGCGGUGACUCGCAAGCAGACACCAACCCGUUCAGCUCCAACUACAAAGCCAGUGAUAAAAAGCCAACAGGAAAUGAAGACCUCACCUUUGGCCAAAGGAAGAAGGACGGCAAGAAAAAAGAGGUGACACAGGAAAGCGUGGCAGCCUAUAGAAACUUGUCCUUUGAGGAAGUUGUGCAGGAACUCAUCAAGCAGAAAGAAGUGGUGAAAAAGAAAGACGCCCACAUCAGGGAGCUGGAAGACUACAUUGAUAACCUACUUGUGCGCGUCAUGGAGGAAACGCCAAGCAUACUACGGACACCCUAUGAGCCAAAAAAGAAGCUGCCACGCGUCUGGUAUCAGGUGAACAAAGCCAGAUGACAACCAGAGGAAAGAGAGAAUGUCAACACCAAACAUCAAACAAGGGCCUGGCUGUUUCUGGGGAACAGGUCAAGCUCAUAGGACCACAGUCUUUCUUCAGUAAAGCUGCACAGGAGAGCUCUGCUGGAAUGCUGCUAAGCUGCAGAUGUACCAGCCAAAUUACUCCAGAGGGGAAUUACCAGGCCAUAAAUCCAGACGUCAGGAGGACGGCUGUAGCCUAUUUCACGAUGAUGGCAGUGGACAUUUUACAGUAGGAGGCACCGCCAGGAGGAUGUGACUUCACAGCACGCUAUACUAAAAGAAGAUAUUUAACCUGUUGCUUACAUGAAUCCACUUGUUGUUUUUGGCUUAGUUAUCAGAGAGUUAACAUCUUCCUCAAUUUAGCUGGAUGUUGUUGCUUACAUGCCUUCUUAAUGAAAACAACUAAUUUAAAAAUAUUACUUUUGAAACGGAAAACCAGAAUGUGCAGUAUAUAUAAAAAGGGCUUUGUUUGAUUGAGCUGUGCUAAGAAACUUUAUGUAUUGGUGGCACCAAAUUGUUAUAUGCAAAUUUUGAACAUCAGCACCCAGAAAUCAAGUACGUCUCAGAAAAGCACACAAAAGUCUACCAUCUAAUCUGUCUAAAUGUUCAUAUCACUUCCCUAAAUAUGAUUGAGUUCAGGGCAAACCUACUGCAUCCCAAUAAGAAAGGGUCGGGGCGCUCCUCUGUACUGCGCAUGUUUACAUGCAAAUGUUGCCAAUGGCAGGUGUAAUAGGUUUGGAAUUUGUUAGAUAUUCAACAUGGUGAAAACAUACAAUGAGUAUGCUUAGCUUUUUUUUUUAACAAACAUACCCUGGUUAAUGUGCUGCAGGUAGGAGCAGUUAGACAAAGGUUGCUGUGACCUUCUGGUUACAAUCAUACUUCUUCUCACUGCUAACUUCAUAUGGGAAAUGCUUUCAGAUGCCACUGCAGAAUCUCCUAUAAAUUAUUCAUGACAAUAAUGUCUAUGGUAGUUAUGUGGAAAGCAUCAGAGUGUGGUUACCAGUCAAGCCACUUGCUGACCACUCUUUUGUUUUGUUUUGUUUUGUUUUGUGAGGAGAUGAGUUGCUUUGCUGGUAGUGAUGGAGAUAUUCCUGUUUCUAAAGCGGCAUUAGCAGUUCAUCAUGCCAGGAAUGACGAGUGCAGACUCAGCAAACCUAUGAUGGAAUUUGAUAUGUGUGCUUAUUUAUUUUGAUCAAACCUGACAAUACUCAGAGGUAAACUGGUUGUUGAUCGUAUUUUGCUGUAAUGUUGUGUUAGUAGGAUUGAGUAUAACAUUUAACAUCUGUUACUGUUUCUACCAAAUAGUUUAGGGUUGUGGUGCUUAAUUGAUCUAAAAAAUAAAUUCCUCUGCAGCUAUUUUGAAUAUCAAUGGAUUGUUUCUGUCACUUUUCACACGGAAAUGCCAAAGAUUCUCAAAUUCCAGCCUCUCAGUAGCGAAGAUUUUCUGCUUUUGUUUGUCUUAUGUGAUAGUAAACUGAC